rfam:Toxocara canis scaffold1468, whole genome shotgun sequence.
GCAGCGGGUUCCGAGUGGUUAAGGUGUUGGACUUGAAAUCAAAUGGGCUCUGCCCGCAUAGGUGCGAAUCCUGCUCGCUGCG